GUCCAGACUCCUACGGGAGGCAGCAGUAGGGAAUCUUUCACAAUGGGCGAAAGCCUGAUGGAGCAACGCCGCGUGCAGGAUGAAGGCCUUCGGGUUGUAAACUGCUUUUAUAAGCGAGAAGUAUGAUGGUAACUUAUGAAUAAGCAUCGGCUAACUCCGUGCCAGCAGCCGCGGUAAUACGGGGGAUGCAAGCGUUAUCCGGAUUUAUUGGGUUUAAAGGGUGCGUAGGCUGUGAGGUAAGUCAGCGGUGAAAUGCCCCCGCUCAACGGGGUGAAGUGCCAUUGAUACUGCCUUGCUGGAAUGCGGAUGCCGUGGGAGGAAUGUGUGGUGUAGCGGUGAAAUGCAUAGAUAUCACACAGAACACCGAUUGCGAAGGCAUCUCACGAAUCCGCGAUUGACGCUGAUGCACGAAAGCGUGGGUAUCAAACAGGAUUAGAUACCCUUGUA
rnacentral:rRNA from 1 species